AGAGCGAACGCUGGCGGCAGGCCUAACACAUGCAAGUCGAGCGGCCGUAGCAAUACGGCAGCGGCAGACGGGAGAGUAACACGUGGGAACGCGCCCUUCGGUUCGGAAUAACUCAGGGAAACUUGGGCUAAUACCGGAUACGCCCUUACGGGGAAAGAUUUAUUGCCGAAGGAACGGCCCGCGUCCGAUUAGCUUGUUGGUGAGGUAACGGCUCACCAAGGCGACGAUCGGUAGCUGGUCUGAGAGGAUGACCAGCCUCACUGGGACUGAGACACGGCCCAGACUCCUACGGGAGGCAGCAGUGGGGAAUAUUGGACAAUGGGCGCAAGCCUGAUCCAGCCAUGCCGCGUGGGUGAUGAAGGCCCUAGGGUUGUAAAGCCCUUUCGGCGGGGAAGAUAAUGACGGUACCCGCAGAAGAAGCCCGGCUAACUUCGUGCCAGCAGCCGC
rnacentral:rRNA from 1 species